GAUCCUGGUUCAGGAUGAACGCUAGCUACAGGCUUAACACAUGCAAGUCGAGGGGCAGCAUUUUAGUUUGCUUGCAAACUAAAGAUGGCGACCGGCGCACGGGUGAGUAACACGUAUCCAACCUGCCGAUAACUCGGGGAUAGCCUUUCGAAAGAAAGAUUAAUAUCCGAUGGUAUAUUUUCUCCGCAUGGUGAGAAUAUUAAAGAAUUUCGGUUAUCGAUGGGGAUGCGUUCCAUUAGUUUGUUGGCGGGGUAACGG
rnacentral:rRNA from 1 species